CCUACGGGUGGCAGCAGUAGGGGAUAUUGCGCAAUGGGGGAAACCCUGAUGCAGCGACGCCGCGUGGGUGAAGAAGCGCCUCGGCGCGUAAAGCCCUGUCAGCAGGGAAGAAAAUGACGGUACCUGAAGAAGAAGCCCCGGCUAACUACGUACCAGCAGCCGAGGUAAUACGUAGGGGGCAAGCGUUAUCCGGAUUGACUGGGUGGAAAGGGGGCGCAGACGGCGAUGCAAGCCAGGAGUGAAAGCCCGGGGCCCAACCCCGGGACUGCUCUUGGAACUGCGUGGCUAGAGUGCAGGAGGGGCAGGCGGAAUUCCUGGUGUAGCGGUGAAAUGCGUAGAUAUCAGGAGGAACACCGGUGGCGAAGGCGGCUCGCUGGUCUGCAACUGACGUUGAGGCCCGAAAGCGUGGGGAGCAAACAGGAUUAGAUACCCGUGUAGUC
rnacentral:rRNA from 1 species